AUGUUUUCAAGGAAAGGACGUUUAAGAUCCUGCCUUGCCCUUUUGUAUGUGUGGCUAAUCCUGGAGUCCGAGAAGGGAAAAAGAAAAAACCUGAAAAACUCCAAGUUUAGGAGACUCUACAACCUGACUCAGUACGUGCGUCACCUGCAUCCAGUUGCUCAGUGUUAAAACCUAGACAUCAUCCUUGAUUUUCUCUCCUCAAAUCUGUCUCCGUUCAUCAGCACGUGCUCUUGACUUGAUGAAAAACUCCAAACACAACUGCUUCCCACGGCCUCCACUGCUGCCUCUUGUCCCUGCGGCUUUAUCUCUCGCCCACAUUGGUCACAGCGGCCUGUUGGUGUUCCUGCUUCUACUUUUA
rnacentral:lncRNA from 13 species